rnacentral:rRNA from 1 species
GAAACAUCUAAGUACCUAGAGGAAGAGAAAGAAAAAUCGAUUUUCUUAGUAGCGGCGAGCGAAAAGGAAAGAGCCCAAACCAGAGAUUUAUCUCUGGGGUUGCGGACAGAACAUAACGUGAAAUUAUGAUUAACCGAACACAACUGGAAAGUUGGACCGUAGGAGGUAAUAGUCCUGUAAGUAAAAGUCAUAAUGAUCAGUUCUGCACCAGAGUACCACGAGACACGUGAAACCUUGUGGGAAGCAGGGAGGACCACCUCCCAAGGCUAAAUACUACCUGAUGACCGAUAGUGAAGCAGUACCGUGAGGGAAAGGUGAAAAGAACCCCGGGAGGGGAGUGAAAUAGAACCU